ensembl:lncRNA
CUUUACCCCAACUUUGUCAGUCCUGUCUUUCUGUCCCCUGCACUCUUAUGUUUCAUGUUUCUUUCUUCUCUAACUCCUACCAUUUCUCUUUUCUUUUCCCAUAUUUCUCUACUAUGACAGUUGGUUUUUUCUCACUUGCCCUGAUCUUUUGUUUUCUCCACUCCUGUUACUUAUUUCAUUUAAUUUUGCCUUUAUUUUCCAGCUUCCUUUGCCCCUUUUGUUCUCUCUGCUAAACUGCCCAGCUUAUUCAUUUUCUUGUAUUCCCUUUCUUCUCUGAUAUAGCCAAUCUAAUUUCUGUCAGAAGCUUAUUUUCAUGCUUUUGCUGAGCCUCUAUCUCUUCUAAAAACCUCUACCUUAUUUCAGACUGCGGUGAUCAACUGGAGUCCUCGAAGAAGCAUCUGGGUAGAGGCGAAGCCCAAGGAGAUUGCCAACUUACACACCGUCACUGCCUUGGCCUGGAAGCGGGCGGGAUGCCUCAGGACUCUGCACAGGCGCACUCUGUGGUGCAGUGGAACAGUCUGACUGCUGCCUCCGAAGGAGCAUUUACAGGAAUAAGUUUGAGCUGACCUGUGUGGGACCCAGGCAGAGUUCUUGCACUGCCAAACCAUGCCUGAGAAUCCAAAGAAAGAAAUGGGGGCCAGGGAUUUAGCUCAGUGGUUUCGCCACCUGCUGCACAAGCACAAGGACCUGAGUUUGAUCCCUGGUACCAAAAAAAAAAAAAAAUGGUACCAUGGACUGCCUCAUCCACCCAUCAUACAGUCUAUUAAAACUUGACUCAUGCAUUUUUUGUAAUUUCACGAUCUUAAAAAAUUAUAACGAGCUGGAAUUAAUUAAUUUAUUUAUUUAUUUAUUUAUUUAUUUUUGGUAUUGGGGAUUGAACUCAGGACCUUGCGCUUUCAAGGCAAGCGCCAGAACCACUGAGCUAAAUCCCUGGCCCAAGAGCUGGAAUUUAAAUCUGUAGGUCUUCAGAUUUCUGGUACAGUGUGCCAUUAAAUAAAACCUCCUAUUCAUCUCACUCUACCUCUCAAUAAUAUAACCCACAACAAAAUUUUGUGGGACAAUCCAUACUUUUCAAGGAAAACAUGGGAUUUGAGGUCCAAGAGAUUACUUGUUUUUGGUUCCCAAAUGAAGUCUUCAGCUUAACCAAGAAUCUCUUAUUUUUCACUUAAUCAUCCAAACUCUCCUGGCUGGCUCAGCUACUCACUCAAAUACACUAGAAGACAGGCAUCAUACCUGCUACCUCAAAUAAUGUCAACAUUACUGUCCACAGUGGCCAGCAGGGGCUGUCAGGAGGCACUGUGUGUGCCCUCCUAGGAGUCUGAUUCCUGCACCAGCAUGUUCAUCAAGAAUGAACUUCUGUAAGAAUAUGGCUCCAACACCAGGAUAGUUUUACUUUUUUUUUUUUGGUACCAGGAAUCGAACUUGGGUCCUCAGCUUUCGAGGCAGGUGCCAGAACCACUGAGCUAAAUCCCUGGCCCUUUUGACAGGUUCUUACUCUGUAGCCCAGGGUGGCCUGGGACUCAAGUUUCUCCUGUCUCAGCCUCUUAAAUGCUGGGAUUAUAAGCAUGUGCCACUAUGACUGGUGAGGGACCCUUUUCUUUCAUAUCUUCAACUACUUCUUCCUUGUUCAUUCUUGCUUCUCAUUUUACAAACCUGACAUCUAGUAAAUGUUCAGUAGGUCUUUUUAAAAAAUCAGGCUACCGUGGCUUUCCUCAUGAUAGCCAGCCCUGCUUUCUCCAGAGUGUGCUUCUAUCUCACUUUUUUCUCUUUUACUCAGCCCAAGCUCGCUCUGCAGAGACAGUUUCUCCCUCACUCUUCACUUUUACUUUUUCAAAUAAACUUUGCCACUGCAAAAAAUCAAAUUUGCUCAGAUAUAAUUUACAAACAAAAAAAUGCACAUUAAAAACAUAUGGCUUGAGGCCGGGGAUUUAGCUCAGUGGUUUUGCUGCCUGCUGCAUAAGCACAAGGACCUGAGUUCAAUCCCGGUACCAAAAAAAGCAAAAAAAAAAACCCACAAAAAACAUAUGGCUUAGGGACUGGGAAUUUAGCUCAGUGGCACUAAAUCACUGCCUCAGAAGUACAAAGUCCUGAGUUUGAUCCCGGUACAAUUAGUGAGUUUUGACAAACGAAUAUUCCCAUAUAAUCACCACCUCAUUCUGUGAUAGCUUUCUCAUCAUCCUAAAAGUUGCCCUAGAAAGUGAUGGGUUAUAAUCAGUCUGCAAUACUCCCCUUUCCUGGGCCACCAAUGAUCUGAUACCAGUCAUCUGCCUUAGUUUUGUCUGGUUUACAGUUUCAUAGAAAUGACAUACAACAUGGUCUCUUUUAUGUUUAUCUUUUUUUAGUCAACAUAUAGUGUUUCUGAAAUUUAUCCAUGUUAUUGCAAAGCAUUAACUCUAUAAAAAAAUUGUUGGAGAGUUGGGUGUGGUGGUGCAUGCCAGUAAUCCCAGCACUCAGACCCAAAUAAAUAAAUAAAAUAAAAAAUUGAUAUUAAGUAGAAUUCCAUUGUGUGAAUGUACAGCAGUUGUUUACCUGUUGAAAGACAGUUGGGUCAUUAAUGGGAUUGGCUAGUAGAAAUAAAGUAGCUAUGAACAUGGGGAGCAAACAUUUUUGUGUGAGACUGAUUUAUCUGGGGUAAAUAUCUAGGAGUGGAAUUGCUAGAUCACAGAGUAGGUAUAUGCUUAACUUUAUAGGUAAAAUUUUCUUCUUUCUUUUGGUUUUUUUUGAGACAAGAUCUUGCUAUGUAGUCCUGGCUAGCCUCAAACUCAUGGUGAUCCCCCUGCCUCAGCCUCCUGAGUGCUGGGAUUACAGGUCCACCACACCCAGCCAAUUUUUUCUUUCUUGUGUGUGUGUGAUGUGUGUGUGUGUGUGGCCAGGGCGUGAACUGAAGGUCUUGCACAUCGCAGGCAAUCACUCUGCAAUCACAGGGUCACAUUCCGCUAGGAACAUCAGUAGAUUAACCCACUGAUGAGUACAGCACCCCUUGGUCCAGUCCCCUCUUAGGAGUUUCAGUCCAGGUGACAGUUGAACUUGCCCACCACAAUCACCUUCACUCAGAAGGUGUGCAGUUUUGUUGUGUCGGGCAGAGAACUGACUGGCAGGAUCACCUCAAUCCUGGUUUUAUGCUUUGCUGAGAUGGAUUUGCAGUCAACUCAGGAUGCUACAACAAAUUGCCUGAGACUGGGUGACAUGUAAACAAUGGAAAUGUAUUUUUCACAG